AAACAAGGCUAAAUAAAUGCAUCGUCCUUUCUUCUGGAAUAUUGUCCAAGGAGGAAAUGUUGGAGGCCAGUGCUGGAAGGCCAGCAAUCAAGGAUGCCCCAAGGAGAGCAAGUUUUAUUUUUAGAAGGUGCUGGUGACUAGCUUUUCAUACUUGCUAUUUGCAGUAGCUCAGGGCUCUCUCCCAAAUGCAAAGCAUUCCUUGUCCUGUUCUGUCUCCUCCUGUUAGAUUUCAACCCUCUCUGCUUCUAGAUGAAGCGCCCCAGCUCAAGGACGGGCCCUCUCAGAAAGGUGCAGGAUAUAACGUUGAAGAGAGACAAACGGACAAAUGUCAGCAGGCUGAAGGAUGAGAAUGGAAUUGGUGCC
rnacentral:lncRNA from 1 species